UACGAAGGGGACUAGCGUUGUUCGGAAUCACUGGGCGUAAAGCGCACGUAGGCGGAUAUGUCAGUCAGGGGUGAAAUCCCGGGGCUCAACCUCGGAACUGCCCUUGAUACAGCAUAUCUUGAGUCCGAUAGAGGUGGGUGGAAUUCCUAGUGUAGAGGUGAAAUUCGUAGAUAUUAGGAAGAACACCGGUGGCGAAGGCGGCCCACUGGAUCGGUACUGACGCUGAGGUGCGAAAGCGUGGGGAGCGAUCCGG
rnacentral:rRNA from 1 species